AGUAGGUAAGCGAUGGAGUGACGCAGGAAGGUAGCCUCCGCGUGGCGAUGGUUGUCCACGUCCAAGCAUGUAGGGAGACAUCUAGGCAAAUCCGGAUGUCAUGUUCCUGAGAUGUGAUGGUGACCCCGUAUGGGGGAAGCAGGGUGAUCCUAUGCUGCCGAGAAAAACUUCUAGUGAGGGCU
rfam:Mobilicoccus pelagius NBRC 104925 DNA, contig: MOPEL092.